rnacentral:rRNA from 1 species
GUGGGGAAUUUUGGACAAUGGGCGCAAGCCUGAUCCAGCCAUGCCGCGUGCAGGAUGAAGGCCUUCGGGUUGUAAACUGCUUUUGUACGGAACGAAAAGACUCCUUCUAAUAAAGGGGGUCCAUGACGGUACCGUAAGAAUAAGCACCGGCUAACUACGUGCCAGCAGCCGCGGUAAUACGUAGGGUGCGAGCGUUAAUCGGAAUUACUGGGCGUAAAGCGUGCGCAGGCGGUUAUAUAAGACAGAUGUGAAAUCCCCGGGCUCAACCUGGGAACUGCAUUUGUGACUGUAUAGCUAGAGUACGGUAGAGGGGGAUGGAAUUCCGCGUGUAGCAGUGAAAUGCGUAGAUAUGCGGAGGAACACCGAUGGCGAAGGCAAUCCCCUGGACCUGUACUGACGCUCAUGCACGAAAGCGUGGGGAGCAAACAGGAUUAGAAACCCCAGUAGUCC